UUUGUCAAACACCAAAUUAAAGCUUUUCUCCCGAAAUUAGCUCAUCUUUUUUAUUUUUUUUAUUUCUAAGCUCUCCAAACAUAGAAUCUCUUUUCAAUUUUGAAGAUUAAUCACGUUUUCAUCCUCAAAUCCUCAAGAGGUCUUCACACGUUUUAGCUCGAUUUAGCUCCAUAGCUCGUCGAUUAUGUGAAAUUGAGUAAUGGAGUCUCUACAAGCAUGGACAAAGGCACAUAAAAGCUUAUUUGAGCAUUGUAGAUGAAGUAAGACCUAAGUGAUUUAGCUUGUGAAGAGGUGGGGAAGUGAGCCAUCCAAGUGAUCCAUAACGAGGCUAUACCUAGGUGACUAUUUAGUUGGAAUCAAUUAUGUACAAGGGAUGUUACAAAGUAAUAAAUGCGACUAUUAAGCUGGAAUUGGUUACAUACAAGGGGCUGUUACAACAACAAAAGGAGAGCAAUAUGCAUCAUUAAAAUUCGACAGCCUCUCUAUCUUCUCCAAGGAGCUGUUCAAGAAUAGCAAUGGACAAAGGAGUGAUUACAAAUUCCAUAACCGAUUGCCUCUUUAAGAACACUUCAUGGUCUGUUUAUGUGCCCAAAAAUACCAUGAAUGUUGUUGGUGUCUAUUCGGCUAUCCAAGGGAGAAUUUAAAGCUUAUCCUAAACUCUUUGGCUACUUAAGAAUGAAACCUAAGCAUUCAAGCUUAUUAAAUUAGCUGAAUUAGAACAUUAAAUCUUAUUGAUAGUUGCUUUUACUUAGGCCUAGAAUUUCAAGAGUUUGAGCUUAAUGAUUAAGUUUUAUUUUAGCUCAUUAUUAGCUCAUUUAAGCUAAACAAUUGUGACUUUUUGGCUAGGCCUUAUCUAGUACUAUAAAUACUUGUAAUAAGCUCAUUG